rnacentral:rRNA from 1 species
CCUGACUGCUAUCGGAUUGAUACUAAGCCAUGCGAGUCGUUGUAGCAAUACAAGGCAGACGGCUCAGUAACACGUAGUCAACCUACCCUAUGGACGGGAAUAACCUCGGGAAACUGAGUAUAAUGCCCGAUAGAACACUAUGCCUGGAAAGGUUUGUGUUCCAAACGAUUUAUCGCCGUAGGAUGGGACUGCGGCCUAUCAGUUUGUUGGUGAGGUAAUGGCCCACCAAGACUAUUACAGGUACGGGCUCUGAGAGGAGUAGCCCGGAAAUGGGUACUGAGACACGGACCCAGGCCCUAUGGGGCGCAGCAGGCGAGAAAACUUUGCAAUGUGCGAAAGCACGACAAGGUUAAUCCGAGUGGUUUCUGCUAAAGGAACCUUUUGACAGUCCUAAAAACACUGUUGAAUAAGGGGUGGGCAAGUUCUGGUGUCAGCCGCCGCGGUAAAACCAGCACCUCAAGUGGUCAGGAUGAUUAUUGGGCCUAAAGCAUCCGUAGCCGGCUCUGUUAGUUUUCGGUUAAAUCUGUACGCUCAACGUACAGGCUGCCGGAWAUACUGCAGAGCUAGGGAGUGGGAGAGGUAGACGGUACUCGGUASGAAGGGGUAAAAUCCUUUGAUCUAUUGAUGACCACCUGUGGCGAAGGCGGUCUACCAGAACACGUCCGACGGUGAGGGAUGAAAGCUGGGGGAGCAAACCGGAUUAGAUACCCGGGUAGUCCCAGCUGUAAACUAUGCAAACUCAGUGAUGCAUUGGCUUGUGGCCAAUGCAGUGCUGCAGGGAAGCCGUUAAGUUUGCCGCCUGGGAAGUACGUACGCAAGUAUGAAACUUAAAGGAAUUGGCGGGGGAGCACACAAGGGGUGAACCUGCGUUC